GGUUUCACAGAUUUCCAUUUGAAUCUCAUAUGCACUGUUAUGUGUUUUUAUGAAUGCAUGUCUUCCUUUCCUUUGUUUCUGAAGCAAUGUUACAGUGAUUCUGAUGCUUGGUCCUAAGCACUAGUAUCCACCUACAGGAGGGAGAAAUCUCAAGGACUGAGCCGACUUAGCUAAUCCACAUGCAUGAGAAUAAAUCUAAGCAGUUGGAACAUGAAUCCUGAAAUCAACAGAAAGGACUAGAUGUACAGAUUUAGGAAACCUAGGAGGCAGAGAUCUUAAAAGUUUCCAUCUCUGUGGAUAUAUGGAGUUUAGCAUCUCAACACAGAACCACUCCCUUAGGCCAAGAGCUCACACGGUUGAAAUAAUAGAGGCUUGUGGAAUAAUAUGUGGAGAUGGCAUUGUUCUGGAGACAGGUCAUGAGUUAACCUGUACUCCAAAACCACCAGGUUCAUAAAUUGAAGUCCUAUCUCUAAUUACCACUUUUCUGGAGGUUGGAUUUCUUUACAGAGCUGAGUAAAAGUGAGGUCAUUUGGGUGGCUCCUACACUAAUAUGACUAUUGUCCUAGAAGAAGAGAAAACUGGACACAUAUGGGGAGAAAAUGACGGGAGGUAUGGAGUUCAAAAUGGUCACUGACAAACCAAAGCAAUAGGACUGGAGCAGUAGGUUCUGAAAUAUGAAUUUGCCUCAGAACAAGAAAAGUUUCCCAUACCUGCUACCAAGGACCAUAAAUCCAAAGUGAUGCGUUGAAGACUCAUUUUCCAACGUGUAAACUCUCAGAGCUAAAGAGUAACAUUCCUCAGUAUUUAAUGACUGAGUCAGUUAACUGACUGUGUUCUAAAGCAGAGUACAGGAAGAACCAGCUCUGUUAAAGAAAGGGAAGUUGUGUUAACUUGUUUACUCUUACUUCAAGACAAGAGGAAAGAAUGAAGACUUGGUUGCAUUUGUUUUUUGUUUUUUGUUUUUGUUUGUUUUGUUUUUGUUUUGUUUUGUUUUGUUUUGAAAGCUAAUACUCAAAGGAAGAAAUGGAGCAGAUAACCAUAGAAAAGCCACUGUACGGUGUUUUGUUGAUUUAUUGAUUUAUUUAUUGAUUUAUUUAUUUAUUUAUUUUUACUGUAAGCAAGAAAGAGAUUCUUUUUUUUCCCAUUUUUAUUAGGUAUUUAGCUCAUUUACAUUUCCAAUGCUAUACCAAAAGUCUCCCAUACCCACCCACCCCCACUCCCCUACCCACCCACUCCCCCUUUUUGGCCCUGGCAUUCCCCUGUACUGGGGCAUAUAAAGUUUGCAAGUCCAAUGGGCCUCUCUUUCCAGUGAUGGCUGACUAGGCCAUCUUUUGAUACAUAUGCAGCUAGAGUCAAGAGCUCCGGGGUACUGGUUAGUUCAUAAUGUUGUUCCACCUAUAGGGUUGCAGAUCCCUUUAGCUCCUUGGCUACUUUCUCUAGCUCCUCCAUUGGGAGCCCUGUUAUCCAUCCAUUAGCUGACUGUGAGCAUCCACUUCUGUGUUUGCUAGGCCCCGGCAUAGUCUCACAAGAGAAAGCUACAUCUGGGUCCUUUCAAUAAAAUCUUGCUAGUGUAUGCAAUGGUGUCAGCAUUUGGAUGCUGAUUAUGGGGUGGAUCCCUGGAUAUGGCAGUCUCUACAGCACAUAGGGUAGCCCUUGGAUCAUCUACCAGGAAGGUGGGAUAAUGAAAGUUCUCAUCUGUUUCUCUUUUCCCGUUGUCUGAACGGUGUCCUCUGAGCAAUAAUUCCUCUUGCACCCCUGCAUCUUUGGUCUGAUCAGUGUCAGCCAGCUGAGAGAUCUGGGAUUGGGAAGACCCAAAGGGAGAAUGGAGAAAUACCAGCAAGAGGUUGUAGCAAGAUCCAGGCCAAGCAGGAGGGAAGGACCACUGUUUGCACAGGCUCUCUACUGUGACUCUGGCUGAAAUUAGCAGAGGGCUGCAUAAAUGUGUCACUGGAUGCUAGGAGCAUCUCUGACAGCCACAGCAAACACAAGGCAUGCUGUUUGCCAUCACCUGUCAUUCGAGAAGAUUUCUCCUUGUCACAGUAAUGGGCUUAGAAGCAAUAAUCCUUAGUAGCACUUGUGAGAUACAUUUACCCUAUGAAGAAAAUAGGAUUAUUUUUCAAGGCUAAAAAAGAAAAAUUGGAAAUGGUGUUCCCUGUAGCACUACCAACCAGACAGAAAAAGAAAAAUGUAAGAAAAAUAAUUGAAAAAUCAUUAGAGAAAACUUUGCCCAGCAAAUGCUAAGUUGUUCUUAACAUUUUGUUAUUUGUUUCAAUGAGAAUACAAAAAAAAAAAAAAAAAGACAUUUGUGCAUGCUUCAUGAAAGGAGAGACUGGAAUGUUCAUUGCAGAGGGAAAGAUGAAGCCAUUCAUUAAGUGUCUUUUAAAAAUACUACCUCUUCCUUUUAAAAUGCAUUCAUGAACGUUCACCUAGUAAUUCUAAGGUAACUGAACUUUGUAAAGAUUUAUUUGUUUUUACUUUAUGUAUAUGUGUGUUUUGCCUACAUGUGCAUACACCAUGUGUGUGCCUGGUACCAAAAGAAGCUGAAAGAGAGUAUGAGAUUCCCUGGAGCUGGGGUUACAGAUAGCUGUGAGAUGCCAUGUGGAUACAGGAAACUAAACCUAGGUGCUUUGCAAGAACAGAAAGGGCUAUUAAUCUCUGAGUCAUAGUUUCAGUCCCAAGGGAAUAGAAAUUUUAUAAGUAAGAAUAUUCAGGCCACAGUUGAGGAUUUAUCUUUAUAACAGAGUUUAUGAAUGGGAAGCAUAAAGCCCUGGGUUCAAUCCUUAGCACUGAAAAAAAUACAUAAGAAACAAUUUGCUUCCAACAUCAUGGAUGUUAAAAAUAAAACAUGGUGCAUCCACUUGUAAUUUUAUGCCUCAUGCUCUAAAACUCAUGGCUGGAGAAAUACUGAAUGCC
rnacentral:lncRNA from 1 species